ACUUUUAUGGAGAGUUUGAUCCUGGCUCAGAGUGAACGCUGGCGGCGUGCCUAAUACAUGCAAGUCGAACGAUGAAGCUUCUAGCUUGCUAGAAGUGGAUUAGUGGCGCACGGGUGAGUAACGCAUAGGUCAUGUGCCUCUUAGUUUGGGAUAGCCAUUGGAAACGAUGAUUAAUACCAGAUACUCCCUACGGGGGAAAGAUUUAUCGCUAAGAGAUCAGCCUAUGUCCUAUCAGCUUGUUGGUAAGGUAAUGGCUUACCAAGGCUAUGACGGGUAUCCGGCCUGAGAGGGUGAACGGACACACUGGAACUGAGACACGGUCCAGACUCCUACGGGAGGCAGCAGUAGGGAAUAUUGCUCAAUGGGGGAAACCCUGAAGCAGCAACGCCGCGUGGAGGAUGAAGGUUUUAGGAUUGUAAACUCCUUUUGUUAGAGAAGAUAAUGACGGUAUCUAACGAAUAAGCACCGGCUAACUCCGUGCCAGCAGCCGCGGUAAUACGGAGGGUGCAAGCGUUACUCGGAAUCACUGGGCGUAAAGAGCGCGUAGGCGGGAUAGUCAGUCAGGUGUGAAAUCCUAUGGCUUAACCAUAGAACUGCAUUUGAAACUACUAUUCUAGAGUGUGGGAGAGGUAGGUGGAAUUCUUGGUGUAGGGGUAAAAUCCGUAGAGAUCAAGAGGAAUACUCAUUGCGAAGGCGACCUGCUAGAACAUUACUGACGCUGAUUGCGCGAAAGCGUGGGGAGCAAACAGGAUUAGAUACCCUGGUAGUCCACGCCCUAAACGAUGGAUGCUAGUUGUUGGAGGGCUUAGUCUCUCCAGUAAUGCAGCUAACGCAUUAAGCAUCCCGCCUGGGGAGUACGGUCGCAAGAUUAAAACUCAAAGGAAUAGACGGGGACCCGCACAAGCGGUGGAGCAUGUGGUUUAAUUCGAAGAUACACGAAGAACCUUACCUAGGCUUGACAUUGAGAGAAUCCGCUAGAAAUAGUGGAGUGUCUAGCUUGCUAGACCUUGAAAACAGGUGCUGCACGGCUGUCGUCAGCUCGUGUCGUGAGAUGUUGGGUUAAGUCCCGCAACGAGCGCAACCCCCUUUCUUAGUUGCUAACAGGUCAUGCUGAGAACUCUAAGGAUACUGCCUCCGUAAGGAGGAGGAAGGUGGGGACGACGUCAAGUCAUCAUGGCCCUUACGCCUAGGGCUACACACGUGCUACAAUGGGGUGCACAAAGAGAAGCAAUACUGCGAAGUGGAGCCAAUCUUCAAAACGCCUCUCAGUUCGGAUUGUAGGCUGCAACUCGCCUGCAUGAAGCUGGAAUCGCUAGUAAUCGCAAAUCAGCCAUGUUGCGGUGAAUACGUUCCCGGGUCUUGUACUCACCGCCCGUCACACCAUGGGAGUUGUGUUUGCCUUAAGUCAGGAUGCUAAAUUAGCUACUGCCCACGGCACACACAGCGACUGGGGUGAAGUCGUAACAAGGUAACCGUAGGUGAACCUGCGGUUGGAUCACCUCCUUU
rnacentral:rRNA from 1 species